GGUCAGCGGGUCUUCCCUGAGCGCGCGUCUUCAGCCUCUGAGGAAGUCAGUUGGUUUCACUCAGAGGCUCACGAGAUACCACACGAAGAGGGCAGAGUUUCAGGGAUAAUGUGGUAACGGUGGCAGCUGCUGCUGAAUGUAGGAGAGGGAGGGAUGGUGGAAGGCAGGCAUCACCCUUACUUCGUUCAGACAGUGGUUUUCCUCGGAGCACGUGCCUGCAGACCUAUGUGACGAAGCCUGGCUGUCAUCAUGGUUUCUGCCUGCAGCUUCUUUCUUCAGAAGAAGACAAAGUGUGUCCUGCUUUCACUCAAACCAUGCAGAGAGGAGUCCGGCCAGGAGAGUUUUGAGGACCGUGGAGCACAGCCUGAGCAAGCCUGGCAGUUGAUGCCUGAAGGGGGGAGGAGGGAGUGCUGCCGCCUUUUAAGGAAAAGGAUUUCCUCUCUCUUGCUCUUUUCCCUGCAUGUGCCAUGUUUUUUUUUAUUAUUCUAUUCAGCAGCACGGGACACACUUGAACUGUGCAUUCAUGCCUUCUAACAGGGCAUCGUGGGUGCUGCUGGACAUUGCUAAGGUCAUCCUGCCAGGAACCUGGGACAGGACGGGAGCCACCACCCCUGUAAGCAUGCGACAGGAGUGCAGAGUUCUGGGAGACUCCCUGAGCCACUUUCUAGCAAGAUCCGAGCAGGAACAUCAGAGCAGAGCAAGAGCCAUGUACGGGAGAAAAGUGACGGACACAGAGAACAAGAAGCCAGCGGCUUCUAAAUAACUUGUAUGUGAGCCACGUAGACCGCUGAUGUCCUUCUGGGUUCCCAUGGAUUGGCCUAAUCCCCAUCGUGACUGUGGACUCAUGUCCCCCACGAAGCCCACGAAGCUCCCCAGGGAAGGCAGCAGAAUGUGGACGCCGGGUAUUGGGUUGGGACUGAGCCAGGAGGCAGGCGCUUCUCCACUCAAGUGAUGGUGAGACUUUGGAACAUUUUGUGUCUGAGAUUGGGUCACAUGACAGAGUUAUAGACAUCAUUUGGAAAAUUGGUGGGGGCAUGGUGGGCAGAAGCAACCUUCCAUUGGAAAGAAGAAAGAAACAAUCUGAAUUUUCCCACUCAUUUGUGUGCUGAGCUCUGGCUUGCCAAUAAAGAAGGAAUACUAGGCCUGGAACCAUCCGGUCAGUCAGAAUCAAAAUGAAUGGAAGAGGGGACUAAGGAUUGCAAGCCUAUCUUUUCCGGUCCUAAUGAGAACUUCUGCUCUUCCUGGAGAAUAAAUCACCACAGCAUACCACCUUUACCACCACCAGCUUUGCUUCACAUAAAACACAUUCAGUUCCCGGAUCCCUUACAUGGAUACUUUGCUCCUCAGGAGACCUCUCCCUCAGGAUUAGAUGGGGCACUGUACGACUGAGGAGAUUCUGAAUUUAUACUCAGCUUGUAGUUGCCACCCAGCUAACAGAUUGCCAUAGCUGCCUAGUGGGACAGUUUCGAUGCCUGUGAUUUCCAUCUCCACUGACUGUGAAGGGAAAGACACUGACAACUAAGGAGUUUAUCGCUGAAACUUACUGCUAUGCCGCUAUCCCGAGUGCAGUGCAGAUUCAGUGACUAAAGCUUUUCCCCUCUCCACUGAUUGGGAAGAGACAAUAGCUUACUGACUUGACUGGAUGUAAGACCACAGUGGAUGGAGAGGUGCCUUAUCUUGAGAAGGCCUGGGAAACAAUAGGAUAAUGACUGAAUGUACCGGUUAUGAGGUGAUGCUGUGUGAUCUAUCAGGCUUAGCCUUGGAAGGGAAAAUAAGUCAUAAUGUUUAAAUCGGAAGGAACUCCAGGGCCUUUAGCCUGAUAAAGGACCUAUAGUGUGGCAUGAUUAAAUCACAGGUUAUGUUAACAACAAAAGAACUUUCUCUCAUUCAGAUCAUAAUCUGCUUUUUCAAAAUUGC
rnacentral:lncRNA from 1 species